GACGAACGCUGGCGGCGUGCUUAACACAUGCAAGUCGAACGGAAAGGCCCUGCUUUUGUGGGGUGCUCGAGUGGCGGACGGGUGAGUAACACGUGAGUAACCUGCCCUUGACUUUGGGAUAACUUCAGGAAACUGGGGCGAAUACCGGAUAGGAGCUCCUGCUGCAUGGUGGGGGUUGGAAAGAUUCGGCGGUUGGGGAUGGACUCGCGGUUUAUCAGCUUGUUGGUGGGGUAGUGGCUUACCAAGGCUUUGACGGGUAGCCGGCCUGGGAGGGUGACCGGCCACAUUGGGACUGGGGUACGGCCCGGACUCCUACGGGAGGCAGCGGUGGGGAAUAGUGCACGAUGGGCGGAAGCCUGAUGCAGCAACGCCGCGUGCGGGAUGACGGCCUUCGGGUUGUAAACCGCUUUCGCCUGGGACGAAGCGUGAGUGACGGUAAUGGGUAAAGAAGCACCGGCUAACUACGUG
rnacentral:rRNA from 1 species